AAUUAUUUGAGUUUGAUCCUGGCUCUGGAUGAAUGCUAGUGGUAUGCCUAAUACAUGCGAGUCGAGCGAAAAAUCUUUUCGCGGCGGACGGGUGAGUAACACGUGAGAAUUUACCUUUUAGUUUUGGAACAAGUAGCUUUAUGUUAUAAAAGAAGACUUUCGAGUCAUAUGAAUUCCAAUAUAUACAUUAUGAUAUAUAGAGUUUUACUUGCUAAAAGAUAAGCUUGCGCAAGAUUAGGUAGUUGGUGGGGUAAAAGCCUACCAAGCCAUCGAUCUUUAGCUGACUUGAGAGAGUGAUCAGCCACAUUGGAACUGAGACAAGGUCCAAGCUUUUUAAGCCAGCAGUAUGGAAUAUUAGACAAUGAACGAAAGUUUGAUCUAGCAAUACCACCUGAAUGAUGACAACUAAUUUGGUUGUAAAGUUCUUUCAUCAAAGAAGAUUGUGACGGUAUUUGAAGAAGAAGUCCCGGCUAAUCUCGUGCCAGCAGCCGCGGUAAUACGGGAGGGGCAAGCAUUAUCCAUAAUAAUUGGGCGUAAAGCGUUCGUAGACGGUAUUAUCAGUCUUUUGUUAAAUUCCGGAGCUCAACUCCGGCACGGCAUUAGAUACUGUUUUACUAUGAGUUUAAAAGAGAAAAGCAGAAUUUUACAUGGAGAGGUGGAAUUCUGAGAUAUGUAAAGGAAUACCAUAGGCGAAGGCGGCUUUUUGGUUUAAACUGACGUUGAGGAACGAAAGCGUAGGUAGCGAGCAGGAUUAGAUACCCUAGUAGUCUACGCCGUAAACGCUGAGUGCUCAGAUUUCGAUAUAAGUAUCGGAGUCUCCUAGUUAACACGUUAAGCACUCCGCCUGAAGAGUAUAUCCGCAAGGACGGAAUUCAAAGGAAUAAGCGGGGUUAAAUACAAGCAGUGGGGUAUAUGGUUUAAUGCGAUAAUACGCGCGAAACCUUACCAGACCUUGACAUCUUAAUGAGAAUUUAUUUUAUUGAUAAAUUAAAAUUAAACUUGAAAAGUUUAGUAUAAUCAUUUAAGACAGGUAUUGCAUGGCUGUCGUCAGCUCGUGUCGUGAGAUGUUUGGUUAAGUCCUUUAACGAGCGCAACCCUUAUUUUUAGUUGUAUUAUUUCUUUAUGAGUAAUUAUUCUAAAAAAAUUGCUGGCAAUAAGUCAGAUGAAAGUAAGGAUGACGUCAAGUCCUCAUGGUCCUUAUGGUCUGGGCUACACAUAUGCUACAAUGGUAAUGACAAUUAGCUACAACUCUGAAAAGAAAAGUGAAUCUAAAAAAAUUAUCGUAGUUCGGAUUGUUGGCUGCAACUCGCCUACAUGAAGUCGGAAUUGCUAGUAAUCGCAAAUCAUCACGUUGCGGUGAAUCUGUACCUUUAACUUACAUUCAUUGCCCAUCACAUGCUGAGAAUUGCUUUUACUUGAAGUUUAAGUUUUAAUCUAUGUUAAUAAAAAAGUUGUGUAUUUAUUUCUGUUUUAAACAAAAAAAAAGGUUUUUUAAGUUAGUCUAGAAAAAACUAAACUAGAGCGAAAGUGGUGAUUGGUAUGAAGUUGUACCAAAGUAAUCGUAAGGGAACUUGCGGUUGGGACGAAU
rnacentral:rRNA from 1 species